AUUGAACGCUGGCGGCAGGCCUAACACAUGCAAGUCGAGCGGCUCGGCGGACGGGUGAGUAAUGCUUAUGAAUCUGCCUGUUAGUGGGGGAUAACGUUCGGUAACGGGCGCUAAUACUGCUUCCUAUUAGAUUAGCCUAGGUCGGAUUAGCUAGUUGGUGGGGUAAAGGCCUACCAAGGCGACGAUCCGUAACCGGUCUGAGAGGAUGAUCAGUCACACUGGAACUGAGACACGGUCCAGACUCCUACGGGAGGCAGCAGUGGGGAAUAUUGGACAAUGGGCGAAAGCCUGAUCCAGCCAUGCCGCGUGUGUGAAGAAGGUCUUCGGAUUGUAAAGCACUUUAAGUUGGGAGGCGUUACCAGCAGAAUAAGCACCGGCUAACUUCGUGCCAGCCGCCGCGGUAAUUC
rnacentral:rRNA from 1 species